rnacentral:rRNA from 1 species
GUCCACGCUGUAAACGAUGGGCACUAGGUGUCGGGGGUAUCCACUCCCUCGGUGCCGCCGCUAACGCAUUAAGUGCCCCGCCUGGGAAGUACGGCCGCAAGGUUAAAACUCAAAGGAAUUGACGGGGGCCCCGCACAAGCGGUGGAGCAUGUGGUUCAAUUCGAUGCAACGCGAAGAACCUUACCUGGGUUUGACAUCUGGCGAAUCUUCCCGAAAGAGAAGGGUGCCCGCAAGGGAGCGCCAAGACAGGUGCUGCAUGGCUGUCGU